UACGGGGGGGGUAAGCGUUGCUCGGAAUCACUGGGCGUAAAGGGCGCGUAGGCGGGAUGGCAAGUCGGUCGUGAAAUCCUUCGGCUCAACCGAAGAACGUCGGCCGAUACUGCCGUUCUUGAGGGAUGCAGAGGAGAUUGGAAUUCCCGGUGUAGCGGUGAAAUGUGUAGAGAUCGGGAGGAACACCGGUGGCGAAGGCGGGUCUCUGGGCAUCUCCUGACGCUGAGGCGCGAAAGCGUGGGGAGCAAACAGG
rnacentral:rRNA from 1 species